UGUUUGAAACAGACCGCAAUGGAGAGAUCAGCGCCCAGGGAAGCGAGGGAACAGCAGGCUCCUUCCAGCAGCACAUCGGGAUGGGAGCCUGGGACACGGGGGGCUCCGAGACCGGGAUUGAUUCGGGGCAAAUAUUUGAUGGAUCAAUCCAAGAGUGACCAGCUGCUUCUCUCACCCAGCAGACAAUUACUUGAAGGACCAAGACAGUAUAAUACGUCCUCGAUACAAAGCCAAGUGUGAUUAGUUCCUUCUAACAAACAGC